CAGUGCGUGACCCAGUAAAACCUACUGUCGCUCUGAAAUGGAAAGUAAGGGUCAGUGCUAAUCACUGAGUGAGGAUCUACAUCCUAGUCACUCUAUGGUACAAAUAUUCAUAUAGAAGGUAUACAACAUAUAACACAUAAUGCUAAUUCUAUAAUCUAAUUUAUAUUCAUAUUUUAUUUGGGAUCCCAGCUCACAUAUGCUGACGACCCACGUAGAGUUAGUGGCACUAAAAUGGCCCACGUAGAGUUAGUGUGGCGCUUAUCAAGUCCCACGACAUUAGUUAGUUGUGGCGCUUACCAAGGCCCACCGCGUAACAGAAGUGCAAUAAUUACAAUCGCCAGCAUACGGGCCCUAACUAGGUGAGCAAUGAAUUACCAGAUUUAUUCAAUAAUUAAUAAUAGCUACAUCUCAUAUUAACACAUAUAUUAAAUCAGAUAUAUCAGCAAAGUAACAGAACAUGUAUCAUAUUAAGUAAUAAAUAUGAUAAAGAAGCAUAUAAAAUCUUACGAUUAAACGGACAUUACCCUAUCAUGUAUAUAGCCUUAGUAAUAAUAAACUCAUAAUGGAACGUCUAACCCGGUCAGAUACGCAGGAGACCCUCACCAGAAAUAAUCCUUGAGAAAUCCGGUAGUAACUUCCGAGUUGAGAUCGUACGUAAUUCAAAGGAUUUGAAUUAUGAACCAGAUAUAAGUCACUGGCUUCUUCUAUAUUUCCUCUGUUUAAGUUUCCUACCUCCCAC
rnacentral:lncRNA from 1 species